CUUCCUCCGUCCUCUCAGCUGAUUUCUAUAAAGAUGGCCGCCUCAUCAGGAGCAGCUCUACAGAGAACAUGACCAUCCACAGGGUUUCUAAAUCUGAUGAAGGACUCUACAAGUGCAGCAUCUCUGGUGCUGGAGAAUCCCCAGAGAGCUGGCUGGCUGUCAGAGCUGUUCACAGAGAGACGUGUCCCUGCUCGGAUCACUCCCUGUACGUCCUCCUCGUCUUAAGGACUGUGUUCACCGUAGUGAUGGUGGCUCUGCUGCUGCUGCUGGUGGGACUGCUGCACUGUGGGAAACUCAGGGUUACACAGAAAUAACUCAUGAGAAAGAUCAGAGUCUGGUCAUCAAGAUAAUGACCACCACGAGCUUUAAUGCUUUAGCUCAGGUUGUGUGUAAGGUGUGUAACCUCUCUGUGUUCCAUGAUCGUACGUGCAGCGGCUGUUAGACUUUCUCACACAGAGACAAAGUGAAACCACAGAGGUACUGACUGACGCGUUUAUUUUAGAAGGCGAGCUGAGGGUACGAUGUUCUGAGCUUUAUUUUAGACUCUACAGAUACUUUACGCUCUCAGACACAACCCACAGAAAGGGCUUUUAUAUAGAUGUAUGUGAAUAUGAAGAAGAGGCUUUGUAGAAACAGACAAAUGUGUAUGGUUUAAUAGGGUAACUGAAGGGGUGAACAAUUCACAAAUCAAUUUACAAAUACUACAUUUUAUAUUUCAUAUAUUGUUGGUUUAAAAACAACAUAUUUGGAAGAUGGUAUUUCUCAGAGCAAAUAUCAAAACUGUACAUCAGAGUCGGAACUUUUCAGAAUAAAACUGAAUUUGAAGUUGUUCAUAUCUUUACAGUAGAAACACUGAGUGAAUACUUUUACAGUACACAAUGAAGACAAAACUAAAGAUUUGUAAAGAUUGUAUAAACAUUUAAAAUCCAGUAAACUCAAAACCUCU